rnacentral:rRNA from 1 species
GACGAACGCUGGCGGCGUGCUUAACACAUGCAAGUCGAACGGAAAGGCCCUGCUUGCAGGGUACUCGAGUGGCGAACGGGUGAGUAACACGUGGGUGAUCUGCCCUGCACUUCGGGAUAAGCCUGGGAAACUGGGUCUAAUACCGGAUAGGAGCCAUUUUUAGUGUGAUGGUUGGAAAGUUUUUUCGGUGUAGGAUGAGCUCGCGGCCUAUCAGCUUGUUGGUGGGGUAAUGGCCUACCAAGGCGGCGACGGGUAGCCGGCCUGAGAGGGUGGACGGCCACAUUGGGACUGAGAUACGGCCCAGACUCCGACGGGAGGCAGCAGUGGGGAAUAUUGCACAAGGGGCGCAAGCCUGAUGCAGCGACGCCGCGUGGGGGAUGACGGCCUUCGGGUUGGAAACUCCUUUCGCUAGGGACGAAGCUUUUUGUGACGGUACCUAGAUAAGAAGCACCGGCUAACUACGUG